rnacentral:rRNA from 1 species
CGGACGGGCGAGUAACGCGUGAGCAACCUGUCCUUCAGAGGGGGACAACGGCUGGAAACGGCCGCUAAUACCGCAUGACAUAUCCGGAUGGCAUCGUCUGGAUAUCAAAGGAGAAAUCCGCUGAAGGGUGGGCUCGCGUCCGAUUAGCUAGUUGGUGAGGUAAUGGCCCACCAAGGCAACGAUCGGUAGCCGGACUGAGAGGUUGAACGGCCACAUUGGGACUGAGACACGGCCCAGACUCCUACGGGAGGCAGCAUG